UAAAGUAGUGAGGGUGCUCUGCAGAUACAGAAAAAUCAAGAACUAAAACAUAAAGAGAAGUCUCCGACAAUAUCUACCUAGCCAUGUUCUGAUACACCCCUACCAAGCACACCCUCCUUCAGGAAAAUGGAAAAAAAAAUCCCACAGAUUUAAGAAAGUCAGCUCCACAUCUGAAGGGUGGCUCUGUGUUUUCCCCUCCUCCUCCUGUCUUCAAAGGAGUUUUCUGAGCUUGGUGGUAAGGGAAGAACACCAGAAGAGGCUUCCACUGUGAUCACCUCUGCCUGCACCUCUGCCCAUCAUUCUGCACCCCAGAAGAAAAGAGCCUUGAGGGAUUUAAGCUGCUUGGGAGAACAGGGCAAAAUAUACCCGAGGAGCUGACAAAAGGGAACAUGACACCUAUUACAAUGCCAAUGAAUCAGCCCUUUGCUACAGCAAGCAGGACAUUCCUGUUUCACACGUAACCGGCAGCAGCACCAUCCCAGAAACCCCACAAUCCAGGAUGAAGUCUGGUUGAGCUCCAAGUGUGGGAAAGACUGCGCCAGUGGAAGACACUUGCAUCUGAAAGUUUACAGCAUCGACAUGCAGACAAAGAAGCACUAACUCCAUAAA